rnacentral:rRNA from 1 species
CCUACGGGUGGCAGCAGUGGGGCAUAUUGCGCAAUGGGCGAAAGCCUGACGCAGCGACGCCGCGUGAGGGAUGAAGGUCUUCGGAUCGUAAACCUCUGUCAGCAGGGAAGAACGGUCACUGUGCUAAUCAGCAGUGACUUGACGGUACCUGCAAAGGAAGCACCGGCUAACUCCGUGCCAGCAGCCGCGGUAAUACGGAGGGUGCGAGCGUUAAUCGGAAUUACUGGGCGUAAAGCGCUCGUAGGCGGGAUGUCCAGUCAAGGGUGAAAUCCCCGCGCUCAACGUGGGAACUGCCUGUGAAACUGGCAAAAUGGAGUGUGUGAGAGGAUAGUGGAAGUCCAGGUGUAGGAGUGAAAUCCGUAGAUAUCUGGAGGAACAGCAGUGGCGAAGGCGACUAUCUGGCACAUAACUGACGCUGAGGAGCGAAAGCGUGGGUAGCAAACAGGAUUAGAUACCCUAGUAGUC